rnacentral:tRNA from 1 species
GGAGAGGUGGCUGAGCGGUUGAAAGCGCCGGUCUUGAAAACCGGUGUGGGCCUUGUGUCCACCGUGAGUUCAAAUCUCACCCUCUCCG